CGUCGUGCUCAGCUGAAAAUGUCAACAACAGCAGGGAGGAAGAGGCGUCAGGAUGUGUGGACGCACUUUACUUUCGAUUUAAAGGACAACAAAACACUUUGCAAAAACUGUGGAGGAAAAAAAAAAAACGGGAAAAACACAACGAAUCUGAAGAGGCACCUGGAGUCGAGCCACCAUGAUAUAUACGCUCAGGUAAGCAUGAAUGAAUGAAUGGAUGAAACCUGCUCCAUAACGUUAACGUAACGUUACAUUUUGUCGGGUUUAUUUUCCCACAACAUACGUGAACUCACUCACUAGCCUGGUUAUUUUUUUGCUCUUUUGUUAAACCCACACCGCCAUGUGCAUUUUCUUUCAACGGGGGCUCUCUGAUAAAUCAAUCUCGUUAAUUAUCAUUUAACGUUACGGUGCGGGUCGUCGGGGGCGAUACCAAUACACCACUGCUGUUCUGUUAAGCUAAAGGUACCUGCUGGCUGCUGAUUUAAAUGCAUAUAAUUCAUUUAACUAUUUUGUUGGUGUUAAAAAUGAACUCUACCGUCCUUUUUUCUUCAUCACAGCUACAGAAGACUUCAGGUGACCUCGAUGGGCCACACGGUGCCAAGAAAAAGAAAGGAACUCAGCCUAACAUUUCAGAAGCCAUUUUCA